rnacentral:sRNA from 1 species
UAAUAUAUGCUAUAAUAAACGUACAGAUUGUCUAGGAGUGGUUAGCCAUUCCCUUGUAGAAAGGGGUGGUAUGAUGAUAUCAAUGUUUGAAGCAAUGUAUCUCAUGAUAGCAUUCGCAACACUCGUUGUUUUGAUCAUAAAUAGGAA